AUACGGAGGAUCCGAGCGUUAUCCGGAUUUAUUGGGUUUAAAGGGUGCGCAGGCGGGAUGUUAAGUCGGCGGUGAAAUUUUGCAGCUCAACUGUAAAAGUGCCUUCGAUACUGGCUUUCUUGAGUGUGGAUGAAGUAGGCGGAAUUUGUGGUGUAGCGGUGAAAUGCUUAGAUAUCACGAGGAACUCCGAUUGCGCAGGCAGCUUACUAAACCACUACUGACGCUCAUGCACGAAGGCGUGGGGAUCAAACAGGAUUAGAUACCCUGGUAGUCCACGCAGUAAACGAUGAUUACUAGUUGUUUGCGAUACAAUGUAAGCGACUGAGCGAAAGCGUUAAGUAAUCCACCUGGGGAGUACGUUCGCAAGAAUGAAACUUAAAGGAAUUGACGGGG
rnacentral:rRNA from 1 species